GAUGAAGAACGCAGCGAAAUGCGAUAAGUAAUGUGAAUUGCAGAAUUCAGUGAAUCAUCGAAUCUUUGAACGCACAUUGCGCCCGCCAGUAUUCUGGCGGGCAUGCCUGUUCGAGCGUCAUUACAACCCUCAGGCCCCCGGGCCUGGCGUUGGGGAUCGGCGGAAGCCCCCUGUGGGCACACGCCGUCCCUCAAAUACAGUGGCGGUCCCGCCGCAGCUUCCAUUGCGUAGUAGCUAACACCUCGCAACUGGAGAGCGGCGCGGCCAUGCCGUAAAACGCCCGACUUCUGAAUGUUGACCUCGAAUCAGGUAGGAAUACCCUCUGAACUUAAGCAUAUCAAUAAGCGGAGGA
rnacentral:misc_RNA from 1 species